rnacentral:lncRNA from 1 species
CCAUCAGUCUCUCUACCCCUCAUCUCUCUCUCUCACUCAUUCACAACCAAACCCUCACCACUGCCCCCAUCUUGAAAUUGAAAGUGGGAUUUAUGUGAAGCUUCUUUUUUCUCUCAAGGCCACAUCUCACUCCACCCUCCACCUCCGAGAAACCCCACCACAACUAAACCUCCUGUCUCCAUCCCCACCACCGUCGUAGAUGGCCCCGUCACCGGAACCCUAAUUUCGCCCCUGGUUCCUCUUCAAAAUAUGAACUUGUUGCCGAUUUCUCCGGUUGCAUAUCUAAAACCCUUGCAUUAAGGGUCGCCGGAACCCUGGCUAGAGCGAGAGAACAUCUAAUUUUGUUCGGAUCUUGUUCUAAACACGGGAAUUAUCAGGUUCGCUUAUGUUGAUCUCAUGGGAAAGCAUUACUUUGGAAGAUGAUGUACAGUCGUGGUGGGGUUGAUUGGAGAGAGGGAGCUAGAAAGAUGGGUUUAUGUUUGAAAUUACCAAUCUAUCAUCAUGUGCAAGGCACAUGCCAUACUUAACAGAAAAUUAUAACCAGGUUAGGACCAAAGGAUGUAUAGUGUAAUAUGUUUUACAAAUAAAGGAUUGUGACUGUAAUUAUUGAAGUUAAAGGUCAUCCAUUGCAAUCUGGUACAAACAUAAAGGAGAAAAGUGUAAUUUACCCUAUUAUUAUUGAACCACAAAAUCCAACCAAAAAUACCCAAAUUCAC